AUAACCACUAUACCUAGACAGUGGAAAAAACAUCUGGGCAGGUGGAAUAGUUGAGAAGCCACACAGUUUUUGUUUGUAAACCAUGUGGCUGAAAUAGACUAAAAAAUAUUUUUUAAACUGAAGUUGCAGCAGCUUUGUCAACCUUCAAAGCAACAUUUGGCUUACAAACAUGAAAAACAAUGCAUCGAGCUCUCCCUUGUAUCACCUAUCAGAGUAAUUUUUUUUUUAAAUGAUUAAUCUACCUAAAAAUGUAAAUCUGCGGCACAAAAGAAUUAAGAUAAAUUAAUAACUGAGACCAACCCAGUGUCUUCCAGUUUUCUACCCUGUGCUCUAGAACAAGGAUUCUACAUCAGAACCUUUUUGCUAGCUCUGUAUCUAAGGGAGGACUUCUUUCAGGCCUAGCUUCUAUUAACACAAACCAAUUUAACAUCUCUCAUUGCUUUUAUUUUCUGCAAGCUCCAGGUGCUGAAGGGUGUGCUUUUGAAGAGCUGCAAAGUUUCUGCUAUCCCAGCGGACAAGAUACUAAGCAAUCACACGCCGGCUCCAGUUCACAGCAAACAAGUUGAGCUGCAUUCGCAAAACAACGAAGAACACCAAGUAGCGCCGUGCACCAGAACAGAAGCCCCUAGGAACUGGGAUCUGAUUCACUCCGGCAUUUACAAAAGCAAGGGAGCCUUUUUGCAGCCUCAAGCCCCCAGGCUGUUCACUGAAUUUAUAACAGUCCACAGUCUGUCUAGUGCAAUGGCUGUUAACUCCUUCAUCGUUUCCUGCCUACAGCACACAAGGAGCCAGAUGUACCAAGACAGAGAUGAGGCAGAGCCUGUUAUGUUGUUGCUGACAUGGCACAAAGAACUGAAAAUGUCUGGCCUCAUUCUGUUAUUAUACAGGUAGAAAUUUCUUCUUUCCUUACCUUCUUUCAGUAAGCCCUGAAGAGAAGUGUACUGAUGCUUUACAUUGUGGGUAAUGAUUUCAGGUGGAGAAUAAACUGCUAAACAUUAAUCUUGCUUUCAAGCAAACAGUCUUAACCACCUCAAUGGCAGUUUGCAAUCAUUGUGAAGAUGUAGUAAUUGACAAUCCAUGCCUUUAAAUCAAAGCCAAAAGAUGGAACUAUCCUCUCUGCUGUACUCCACAUUAGUGAGAAUUUCAAUAGUGAGAUUUGUUCUCAUCUUCAUUCUUUGGGUCCCAGGUAAGAUCUACAAGCACAAAGGCUAAUUAUUCUGGAUGAAGUUCAUAAGCGGGCCUAAUACAGGAAAAGACAAAUAUAUAGCGAGAGAGAUAGAUGCCUUCAGAAAGAAACAUAGAGAAAAAGCAAUGGGUGAGACCAGUGAAUAACGAGCAUUUUGAACAUU